GACGAACGCUGGCGGCGUGCUUAACACAUGCAAGUCGAACCGUGGCGAACGGGUGAGUAACACGUGAGUAACCUGCCCUCCCCUUUGGGAUAACUCCGCGAAAUCGGGGCUAAUACUGGAUCGGGGGGGAUGGGCUCGGGGCCUAUCGGUUUGUUGGUGGGGUAGUGGCCACCAAGGGGUGACGGGUAGCCGGCCUGGGAGGGGGACCGGCCACACGGGGACUGAGGGACGGACCAGACGCCUACGGGGGGCAGCAGGGGGGAAUAUUGCACAAUGGGGGAAAGCCUGAUGCAGCGACGCCGGGGGGGGGAUGAAGGCCUUCGGGUUGGAAACCUCUUUCAGCAAGGAAGCGGUACUUGCAGAAGAAGCGCCGGCUAACUACGUGCCAGCCGCCGCGGUAAUAC
rnacentral:rRNA from 1 species